GCAGAGUGCUAGCCUGAGGCUUGGAUUGUGCCAGUGGAGCUCAGGUCCCAGAAAGCCCUGGUUUCCCUGUGGGGCAUGGAAGAGCCCAAGUGAACUGCUGCUCCAAAGAGGGCAAGUCUGCGCUGGCGAAGCUGGAGGCUGCUGUGCCUGGUGCAGAAAAGAGGGAACAGAUGUGGAAAUUUAAAACAAGAAGUAGCUUUGCUGGAAUUUGCUUUCAACGUAGCAAAAGGAGCUCUCAGCCAGACUAAGUCCUUGGGAGACAGUGUGCCUGCACAGUAAGAAGCAGUCCCCGCUCUGAAGUGCUGUGAGUGAAACAGACACAGAUGAGAGCACCAAGAGGUGAAAUGAGUUUUUCAAGGUUAUAUAGGAGGUAGUUCAAUGCAAGCUCCCAGUGAGAAAUCUACUAAUUUUGGCAGAAAGUCACCCAAAGCCCACAGGCAAGUUGAUCUG